UACGUAGGAGGCAAGCGUUGUCCGGAAUUACUGGGCGUAAAGCGCGUGUAGGUGGUGGGACAAGUCUGCUGUGAAAGCGCCUGGCUUAACCGGGCGAGGUCGGCGGAAACUGUCCGACUAGAGGACGGUAGAGGGGGGUGGAAUUCCCGGUGUAGCGGUGAAAUGCGCAGAUAUCGGGAAGAACACCCGUGGCGAAGGCGGCUCUCUGGGACGGUACUGACGCUGAGACGCGAAAGCAUGGGGAGCGAACAGG
rnacentral:rRNA from 1 species